CCGUCGAUAGCUCAGUUGGUAGAGCGGUGGACUGUAGAGGCAAACUUGCGGGUAUCCAUAGGUCGCUGGUUCGAAUCCGGCUCGACGGA
rnacentral:tRNA from 2 species